GGAAGUGCGGAAGAGUCAGAUCAGGGCUCAUAGAGUAGAGGCAGAUAGAAGAGUUGAGGGAGACCCCCACUCACGACCUCUACUCCCAAUGCCCCUAGUGGUCAUCAUUAGGAUAGUUGGUGCAAGAGGUCGAUGCACUGGAACUCCAUCUCCAACAAUUGUGACUGUGUGAUUGGAAAGGCUGGUGCUACACAACCAAACGAAACCCCCCUCCUCUCUCUGGAUGAGCUGUUAGGGCACCCUUUGCCUCUUCCCAGGAAUCUUGCUGGCCAGCUAAUUGCUCAGCUAGGGAGGCAUCUGCAGUCAGUGACAUCUAGGACAAGGAGGACUAGUCAUCCUGAAGAGGUGAUAACGCACAAUGUAGCAUUACAGUGUAAGGACUGGAGGGAGGACUAGGCCUCGCUUAGAGCCAAAUCAAAGGGACCAGCUCAGAGGAGCGGGCGGGAUUCCUGGCUCCACCCCCAGCAGAAGCUCUGGUCUCCUGGUGAGUCUGUCCCAGGAGGAGGAGGAGGAGGAGGACCCCGAGGAAGAAGCAGGCCGAGAGCUGCUGGGGAGAUGGGAAGAAGGCCGCAGCCUGUGAGGAAGAAGGACCAGGACAUCCGUGCAAGGCCUCCGGAGGGAAGUGGUUCUUCUGUGCGGAUCGCUGGGGAUCUGCAUUGCCAGAACGAGAACAUUGAGGCGCUCCAGAGGAUGAUCAGGGCUUUGCUGGAGGAGGCCCCCUCUGUCUGGAACUUAAUCAGCAUCUUGAAGAUCUGACUACUGGGAUCUGACUACUGGAGUGGAGAAAAUGGAAAGAGCUGAGGUAGGGAUCCAUUCAGAAAAGGGCCUUCCUCCCUAGAGCCCAGGACAUUUCUCUGAGAGGCAUUUGCCCCAUACGGGAUCUGAAAGCUCCCACUCUCUGCUCUGAUCCCUUUCCCACUUCUGCAUUAUCCCUGAGAGGCAGAAGCAGAAUAUUCCAUGGAGGGGGUGGGGUCCCCAGAAAGGACCUGAGAGCAGC